UACGUAGGGUCCAAGCGUUGUCCGGAUUUAUUGGGAGUAAAGAGCUCGUAGGCGGCUCGGUAAGUCGGAUGUGAAAACUCAGGGCUCAACCCGGAGACGCCAUCCGAUACUGCUGUGACUUGAGUCUGGUAGGGGAACACGGAAUACCUGGUGUAGCGGUGAAAUGCGCAGAUAUCAGGUGGAACACCGAUGGCGAAGGCAGUGUUCUGGGCCAGUACUGACGCUGAGGAGCGAAAGCGUGGGGAGCAAACAGG
rnacentral:rRNA from 1 species